AGAGUUUGAUCAUGGCUCAGGACGAACGCUGGCGGCGUGCUUAACACAUGCAAGUCGAACGAUGAACCACUUCGGUGGGGAUUAGUGGCGAACGGGUGAGUAACACGUGGGCAAUCUGCCCUGCACUCUGGGACAAGCCCUGGAAACGGGGUCUAAUACCGGAUACUGAUCCUCGCGGGCAUCUGCGAGGUUCGAAAGCUCCGGCGGUGCAGGAUGAGCCCGCGGCCUAUCAGCUUGUUGGUGAGGUAAUGGCUCACCAAGGCGACGACGGGUAGCCGGCCUGAGAGGGCGACCGGCCACACUGGGACUGAGACACGGCCCAGACUCCUACGGGAGGCAGCAGUGGGGAAUAUUGCACAAUGGGCGAAAGCCUGAUGCAGCGACGCCGCGUGAGGGAUGACGGCCUUCGGGUUGUAAACCUCUUUCAGCAGGGAAGAAGCGAAAGUGACGGUACCUGCAGAAGAAGCGCCGGCUAACUACGUGCCAGCAGCCGCGGUAAUAC
rnacentral:rRNA from 1 species